rnacentral:piRNA from 1 species
UUUAAGGCCUACUAUUUUCUCCUACGUGA